rnacentral:rRNA from 1 species
UACGGAGGGUGCAAACGUUAUCCGGAAUUACUGGGCGUAAAGAGCGUGUAGGUGGUUUGGUAAGUGGACGAUUAAAGACCGCUGCUUAACAGCGGGACUGUUGUCCAUACUGCCAGACUAGAGGGUGACAGGGGCAAGCGGAACUUUAGGUGUAGGAGUGAAAUCCGUAGAUAUCUAAAGGAACACCAAUGGCGAAGGCAGCUUGCUGGGUCAUUUCUGACACUGAGACGCGAAAGCGUGGGGAGCGAACGGG